CGUGGAGUGAUUUGUCUGGUUUAUUCCGAUAACGAGCGAGACUCUAACCUACUAAAUAGUUGGUACAUACUCUUAGUGUAUACAGCUUCUUAGAGGGAUUUGCGGCGUUCAGCCGAAAGAAAUUGAGCAAUAACAGGUCCGUGAUGCCCUUAGAUGUCCGGGGCUGCACGCGCGCUACACUGGCAAAAUCAACGUGCUUGUCCUACCCCGAAAGGGGCGGGUAAACCAUUGAAAAUUCGCCGUGAUUGGGAUCGGAAAUUGCAAUUAUUUUCCGUGAGCGAGGAAUUCCAAGUAAGUGCGAGUCAUCAGCUCGCGUUGAAUACGUCCCUGCCCUUUGUAC
rnacentral:rRNA from 1 species